UUGCAUUUGAAGCCCAUGAGGAUGAGAACCUCCGGGGGCGGGGAGGUUCGACUCGAGCGAAGCGAGAGAACGUUGCGCCAGCAACGGCCCGCAGGGCGAGCCACGA
rnacentral:sRNA from 2 species